UACGAAGGGGGCUAGCGUUGCUCGGAAUCACUGGGCGUAAAGCGCACGUAGGCGGAUCUUUAAGUCAGGGGUGAAAUCCCAAGGCUCAACCUUGGAACUGCCUUUGAUACUGGGGGAUCUCGAGUCCGGAAGAGGUGAGUGGAACUGCGAGUGUAGAGGUGAAAAUUCGUAGAUAUUCGCAAGAACACCAGUGGCGAAGGCGGCUCACUGGCCCGGUACUGACGCUGAGGUGCGAAAAGCGUGGGGAGCAAACAGGG
rnacentral:rRNA from 1 species